rnacentral:rRNA from 1 species
ACUCAAAUGAAUAGACGGGGGCCCGCACAAGCAGCGGAGCGUGUGGUUUAAUUCGAGGCUACACGAAGAACCUUACCUGGGUUUGACAUGUAUUUGAACAAAGGCGAAAGCCGGCGGUUCGCAAGACAGAUGCACAGGUGCUGCAUGGCUGUCGUCAGCUCGUGCCGUGAGGUGUUAGGUUAAGUCCUGUAACGAGCGCAACCCCCGGGUCCAGUUACAAGUUGUCUGGACCGACUGCCCGUGACAAGCGGGAGGAAGGUGGGGACGACGUCAAGUCAGCAUGGCCUUUAUAUCCAGGGCUACACACACGCUACAAUGGUCGGUACAAUGGGUCGCCAAGCCGCAAGGCGGAGCCAAUCCAAUCAAAGCCGAUCACAGUUCGGAUUGUGGGCUGCAACCCGCCCACAUGAAGUCGGAGUUGCUAGUAACCGCGGGUCAGCUAUACCGCGGUGAAUACGUUCCCGGGCCUUGUACACACCGCCCGU